rnacentral:rRNA from 1 species
ACAACUUUCAACAACGGAUCUCUUGGCUCUCGCACCGAUGAAGAACGCAGCGAAAUGCGAUAAGUAAUGUGAAUUGCAGAAUUCAGUGAAUCAUCGAAUCUUUGAACGCACCUUGCACCCUUUGGUAUUC